GCUAGGGUGGGGCCAAGUGUCCACUUACGGUCUCAGGGCUGGGCCCACGUCUGGCUUGAACCUGUGCAGUCCUUGUGUAUGCGGAUGGUCUCUGUCAGUCCCGUGACAGUGCUCCUUAGCCAGCUGUUCCCUCUGCUCUCUCCAUCAUUCUGCUUCCUCUUCUGCUUCCACCCCAACCCCUGAGGUGAGGGGUUGAAGUCAUCGGACUCCUUUAGGACUGCUGCAUGCUGGGAGAUCAGCAGUUCAGGGAGAGCACUAAAUGGAUCUAAGACAUGGUGCCCGCACAGGGGAGGCAUCGGAGAGAGGAUGGUGUGAAGACAGACAGGCUGUAGCAUACUCUCAUCUCACAGUAGCAUCUCAGAAGCAAGUCUGGCUGGGCCCAAAUGGGACAUAUGAAAUCUCACAGAGAAGAGCUUCGGUGACAGCCUUCAGGGCACCAAGGAGUUUUGCUUUAUUUGUUUUUAUUUUUAUUUUUUUUUGGUUUUAUGGGACAGGGUCUGGCUGUAGCUCUGACCGGCCUGACACGCACCAUGCCAGUCAGCCUAGCGUCAAACUCGCAACGAUCCUUCUGCAGCUGCCUCAUAGUGCUGGGAUUAAGGCUUACCACCAUGUCUGUAAAUUUGCCCAGGGACCAGGAAGCCAUGUCCUCAAAAAAAGACAGGCAAAUGGCAGGGAGGAACUGGAAGCAGUAGAGGAAACCAAACUCAGGAUAUACUGAAUGAAAAAGGAGAGAGACGGAAGCAUCUGCUAUUCCUACUGUUAACACUGUGUCCAUCGACAGAGAAAUGAAUUGCCCCAUAACCACCAUGGGAAUCCCAAAGCACAGUGAGGGGUGAGGUGCUGCCCCGCAUCUACUAGGAAGGG